rnacentral:rRNA from 1 species
UACAUGUGGGGCAAGCGUUGUUCGGAAUUACUGGGCAUAAAGGGUGCGUAGGUGGCUUGUUAAGUCAGGGGUGAAAGUUCUCGGCCCAACCGGAAAAUGGCCUUUGAUACUGGCGAGCUCGAGUGCGUGAGGGGUAACCGGAACGAGCAGUGUAGCGGUGAAAUGCGUAGAUAUUGCUCGGAAGGCCAACGGCGAAGGCAGGUUACUGGUGCGCAACUGACACUGAGGCACGAAAGCGUGGGGAGCAAACAGG